UACGGAGGAUGCGAGCGUUAUCCGGAUUUAUUGGGUUUAAAGGGUGCGUAGGCUGUGCGUUAAGUCAGGGGUGAAAUGUCCGGGCUCAACCUGGGAGCUGCCCUUGAUACUGGCGCGCUGGAGUGCGGAUGCCGUUGGAGGAAUGAGUGGUGUAGCGGUGAAAUGCAUAGAUAUCACUCAGAACACCGAUUGCGAAGGCAUCUGACGAAUCCGUAACUGACGCUGAGGCACGAAAGCGUGGGGAU
rnacentral:rRNA from 1 species